rnacentral:misc_RNA from 1 species
UGGCUCUCGCAUCGAUGAAGAACGCAGCGAAAUGCGAUAAGUAAUGUGAAUUGCAGAAUUCAGUGAAUCAUCGAAUCUUUGAACGCACCUUGCGCUCCUUGGUAUUCCGAGGAGCAUGCCUGUUUGAGUGUCUUGAAAUCAUCAAGCCCCGGAUUCGCGUCCGGAGGCUUGGACUUGGGGGUUCUUUUGCUGCUUCACGGCGGCUCCCCUUAAAUGAAUCGGUUGCGGUCCGUCCGGCUUCAGUCCUCGGCGUUGUAUUUGCCUCGCCCCGCGUCUCGUCGGCAGCGCCCUUCCCCGACCGCCUUUUGAGCGGCGGUCAACACUCUAUUUGAAAUCUGACCUCAAAUCAGGUAGGACUACCCGCUGA